GACGAACGCUGGCGGCGUGCCUAAUACAUGCAAGUAGAACGCUGAAGAGAGGAGCUUACUCUUCUUGGAUGAGUUGCGAACGGGUGAGUAACGCGUAGGUAACCUGCCUUGUAGCGGGGGAUAACUAUUGGAAACGAUAGCUAAUACCGCAUAACAAUGGAUGACACAUGUCAUUUAUUUGAAAGGGGCAAUUGCUCCACUACAAGAUGGACCUGCGUUGUAUUAGCUAGUAGGUGAGGUAAUGGCUCACCUAGGCGACGAUACAUAGCCGACCUGAGAGGGUGAUCGGCCACACUGGGACUGAGACACGGCCCAGACUCCUACGGGAGGCAGCAGUAGGGAAUCUUCGGCAAUGGGGGCAACCCUGACCGAGCAACGCCGCGUGAGUGAAGAAGGUUUUCGGAUCGUAAAGCUCUGUUGUAAGUCAAGAACGGCUGUGAGAGUGGAAAGUUCACACUGUGACGGUAGCUUACCAGAAAGGGACGGCUAACUACGUG
rnacentral:rRNA from 1 species